GUAACUUUGCGUCCCACUUUUCGAGCGCUGAUGUUCAAUCUACGGUUGUAGUAAAUUAUGUCGUACACCGACAAUCGGGUAUGCCUGAUUGCGUGCCCGCUUUCUGUGUAGGACCCUAAAGCCCAAUAAAGCCCAUAGAGGCGGCAUCGGCAGUGUUCCGAGAAAUUGCGCUGUGAACGGGUACCCCGAGGGUGUUAGUGACAUCGUAAUGACAACGGGUGACAUCGUGUGUCGUGACCUUUGAGGGACAAUUUUCAAAAGUAAGAAAAUUCCUCUUAGAGACAUGAGCAGAAUCAUUCCCUUCAGUAUUCGUUACGAUGUCACUAAUACGCUGUAUAAAACUAACAUUACAAACAUACAGACACUGACAUUACAAAAAUCCCGUCUCCGGAUCGCUUUCGGUGCCGCUACAUAUAGGGUAUUUGAUAUUCCAAGACGCUUUUAUAGUUCGACAAAUCAAAUCAGAAUAAUUUACUUACGAGACGAAAUUAUAUUGUGCUCAGUAUAAUUCCACCUUAUUAGAAUUUACGUUUAUCACGUAUGACUUAGGGUUUAAACUUGCCUAGAUCAGACUUGGACAGUGCUUUAAAGCCUUUCUCUUCAUAAUGUUUAUUUGUCGUAUUUUAAAAGGGUAUCGUAGCUAUAUUAUUCUAACAGACGACAAUAAUAGUCAAAUAUCCUAUUCCGUUUUGUUCACGGAGGCAAUCGCUUGCGCCUGAAAUACUCUAUAAAAUAUUAGAUAAUUAUUUUUACACGAGCAAGCAAACCGUGAUAAAAUCUAUCAUUGGAGAUAUAUGGUAGCUGCGCGAUAAGUACCGCGGGUUUCAACCAAUAGACGCAGCGAAUGCUGUCUAUGUAGAUAAACUUCGUACAAGUGCUAGUCGAAGCCCGCGAUAGUCGUCACGCUGCGCGCGAUAGCGUAACCGUGCAGCCCACAGCAGGCUUAUCUUACGUUAUAUUUUAUCAUCGUUGCCCCUGUGAAUAGAACGACGUUAUACUUAAUAUAUUAUAUUAAAUACUAGAUAAUUAUCAUUCGAAUUAGCAAUGAAUUUGAGACUGAGAAUGAUGCAGGCUAUCACCACAGCGCAGCGUCGACUUUGAAACAUUGUUUUAAGUCACUAUUUAUAUAAAACGCGCAAUUUUAACGUCACUAGUAAUUAAAUUGCAAUCAUUUCUCUAAAAUAUAGAAUGUAAUUAUGUGAUAUUUAUAUGUUUAUGAUGAACUCAAUCGUAUAAGUAAACAGUGACGGGAGUAUAUUAUAAAAGGCUCAUUUAAUAGGAAAGGAUAUUAUUAUAAUGAAUUAAAUAAAUUAAUACUUAUUCUAAGUCCAAGUGAUAUGUUAAUUAUAGACCAAAGUUGCCUUUCAGUUAGACGCAAUCAGAAGAAACACUCAUUUAUAUAGGCAGCCCUAACCCCGAUGCACGGGUGACACUAUCUACGUACACGUGACAAAUAGUGCGGGCUUGAUCGAUAAUUGCAGCGUCAGUUGUCUAAGUAGAUAAAAGUGCCACAAGAAGUAAUGAUUCACAAUUCUAAUCCAGAUUGUGUCAUUCAUUUCCAUAUUGGAUUCUAAUCAUGACUUAGUCUGAUCCGUGAAUAAAAUAAAUAAAAAUUAAAUAGAAGUUUAUUCAACCACAAAUACAUUAACAAAGGAAACCGUAAGGUCCGGCAGAGGUUGGCGAUCUGAUCUUUUAUACUUGCUUAUAAGAUAUUGCUAAGAACAACAAUAGAUACUAUAACAGUUAAGAAUGCAAUAUAAUUGUUUCAAAAUAAAUUUUACUAAAAUAAAAUGUUUUAAUUCAUAAA